CUCCGCGAGUUUUUAUGUUUCCAUCGCUCGCUCUAUUCUUUAUUCUGUAUGUAGGGUACUUGUGUCGUCCAGGUUCUCUCCGGAAGCGUAUUGAACGACUAGGCCACCGCCUUUAUGUCGACAGCCAAUUGCUUUGAAAGCGUAGCUCAUUCUGUCGUCGUCGAUUUUCAAGUGGGAUCAAAGCCUACCAGCAGAUCCUUCGCCCGGUUCUUCCGCCACUGCUGAGCCCUCUGCCAUCACGAAGAUCUCUCCUACAACACCUUCAACAGCUCCCACGGAAUCUAACCAGCCUCCUAAAGCAUCGGAUAACAGAGAGCACAUAUUGCCUUUCUUGCCUAAACCAGGCACUGAGCUUCGUAGACCGAGUAGGUGGUUCGUCCCCAACUUGUGAAACGCAAGGAACCGCAAGGUGAUGUAGAGAUGUCAGAAGCUGGCAAUGAAGGAAAACAACCAUCAUCCAGCGAAAUAGGAAGCCAAGCUAACGUGUCUGAACUCGCAAACGCCAGGCUGAUUCAUUGGCUUCUGAAGGGGCGAUGGUUGUGCCGCCACCACUCGCAAACGGAGCGGUUGCGAUUUCUGGCUGGUGGUGGCGGUUGGAAAACCGAAUGGUUAAACCGCAGAUAAACGUAAUCGCUAUCAAAUUUGAAGAAUCAAAACGCAGGUUUUUUGGUGCGUUUCGGUAGCGUUUUCCAGCGUUUCAAUCAAAAGACUAAAAUACCGUUAAUGAAAAUUUAAAAAAAAACUAAUUCUCUCCGUUCUCUCUCACGCUUAGCGACGAUUUCUCUCUGUAACUCAUCCUCUUCUUCGACUACGGCUUUAUCUUCGCCGGAAACUCAUCGGACAUCAUUAUCUUCGUCGUUUCCAGAUAUGUCUGUCUGAAUCCUAUGGUUUAUUUUCUCUGAUUUGUUUUUCUUUUCUCCGAUUCCUCCUUGUAACAAAAGGGAUCGAUUUUUUCUGAGCAAAUGAGCAAAUGAAUGUCUCCAUCUUCUUUGUUUUUUUUAUGGAAUUUUGUUUCUCUU